GGUAGGAUGGCUGAAUUGAAAGGUAAUAGACUGUAAAUCUAUUUAUGGGAAUUUUUCUCUCCUAUCA
rnacentral:tRNA from 1 species